GGCUUGUUAGUUUAGUGGCAAAACGGUUGAUUCGUAAUCAACUGACGCGAGUUCGAUUCUCGCACAAGCCU
rfam:chromosome II of strain GB-M1 of Encephalitozoon cuniculi (Microspora)